rnacentral:tRNA from 1 species
UGGGGUGUAGCCAAGCGGUAAGGCAAGCGGCUCUGAACCGCUCAUUCCCAGGUUCGAAUCCUGGCACCCCAGCCA